rnacentral:rRNA from 1 species
AUUGAACGCUGGCGGCAGGCCUAACACAUGCAGGUCGAACGGUAACAGGAAGAAGCUUGCUUCUUUGCUGACGAGUGGCGGACGGGUGAGUAAUGUCUGGGAAACUGCCUGAUGGAGGGGGAUAACUACUGGAAACGGUAGCUAAUACCGCAUAACGUCGCAAGACCAAAGAGGGGGACCUUCGGGCCUCUUGCCAUCGGAUGUGCCCAGAUGGGAUUAGCUAGUAGGUGGGGUAACGGCUCACCUAGGCGACGAUCCCUAGCUGGUCUGAGAGGAUGACCAGCCACACUGGAACUGAGACACGGUCCGGACUCCUACGGGAGGCAGCAGUGGGGAAUAUUGCACAAUGGGCGCAAGCCUGAUGCAGCCAUGCCGCGUGUAUGAAGAAGGCCUUCGGGUUGUAAAGUACUUUCAGCGGGGAGGAAGGGAGUAAAGUUAAUACCUUUGCUCAUUGACGUUACCCGCAGAAGAAGCACCGGCUAACUCCGUG